GCUAUCGGAUUGAUACUAAGCCAUGCGAGUCUUUGUAGUAAUACAAGGCAGACGGCUCAGUAACACGUAGUCAACCUACCCUAUGGACAAGAAUAAUCUCGGGAAACUGGGCAUAAUUCUUGAUAGAUCAUAAUGCCUGGAAUGGUUUAUGGUUAAAAUGAUUCGUCGCCAUAGGAUGGGACUGCGGCCUAUCAGCUUGUUGGUGAGGUAAUGGCCCACCAAGGCGAUUACAGGUACGGGCUCUGAGAGGAGAAGCCCGGAGAUGGGUACUGAGACACGGACCCAGGCCCUAUGGGGCGCAGCAGGCGAGAAAACUUUGCAAUGUGCGAAAGCACGACAAGGUUAAUCCGAGUGAUUUCUGCUAAAGAAAUCUUUUGCCAGUCAUAAAACCACUGGUGAAUAAGGGGUGGGCAAGUUCUGGUGUCAGCCGCCGCGGUAAAACCAGCACCUCAAGUGGUCAGGAUGAUUAUUGGGCCUAAAGCAUCCGUAGCCGGCUUUGUAAGUUUUCGGUUAAAUCCAUGUGCUCAACGCAUGGGCUGCCGAAAAUACUGCAUGGCUAGGGAGUGGGAGAGGUAGACGGUACUCAGUAGGAAGGGGUAAAAUCCUUUGAUCUAUUGAUGACCACCUGUGGCGAAGGCGGUCUACCAGAACACGUUCGACGGUGAGGGAUGAAAGCUGGGGGAGCAAACCGGAUUAGAUACCCGGGUAGUCCCAGCUGUAAACGAUGCAGACUCGAUGAUGCAUUGGCAUAAUAGCCAGUGCAGUGUCGCAGGGAAGCCGUUAAGUCUGCCGCCUGGGAAGUACGUACGCAAGUAUGAAACUU
rnacentral:rRNA from 1 species